GGGAAGAGCUCACAUUUUGAAUCGGGCGGUCCUUUCGGCCGUUCCGAGUUGUAAUCUGGAGAAGCGUUUUCCGCGCUGGCCCGUGUACAAGUCUCCUGGAAGGGAGCGUCGUAGAGGGUGAGAAUCCCGUCUUUGACACGGACGACACCAGGGCUUCUGUGAUGCGCUCUCGACGAGUCGAGUUGUUUGGGAAUGCAGCUCAAAACGGGUGGUAAACUCCAUCUAAAGCUAAAUACUGGCGAGAGACCGAUAGCGAACAAGUACCGUGAGGGAAAGAUGAAAAGCACUUUGGAAAGAGAGUGAAACAGUACGUGAAAUUGCUGAAAGGGAAACGCUCGACGGCCAGUCGCGUCGGUUCCGGGGGUCAACCUUGCUUGCUUCUGCACGGCUCGGCGUACUUCCCGGUCGACGGGUCAGCAUCGGUUUCGGCCGCCGCACGAGGGCGGAGGGGAACGUGGCACUCUUCGGAGUGUGUUAUAGCCUCUUCGUCGGACGCGCGCGGCUCGGGACCGAGGACGGCCCAGCUGCCUCCCCAGGCAGCUCGGGAUGCUGGCAUAAUGGCGUCGAGCGACCCGUCUUGAAACACGGACCAAGGAGUCUAACAUGCCUGCGAGUGUUCGGGUGGAAAAACCCGCGCGCGCAACGAAAGUGAACGGUCGAGACCUCCGUCGCGGAGGGCACCGACGCCCGGACCAGAGUCUUCGACGACGGAUCUGCGGUAGAGCACGCGUGUUGGGACCCGAAAGAUGGUGAACUAUGCCUGAAUAGGGCGAAGCCAGAGGAAACUCUGGUGGAGGCUCGUAGCGAUUCUGACGUGCAAAUCGAUCGUCGAAUUUGGGUAUAGGGCGAAAGACUA
rnacentral:rRNA from 1 species